rnacentral:tRNA from 1 species
AGCCCGGCUGGCACAAUUGGUUAGCGCGUGAGACUUUUAAUCUCAAGGCUGUGAGUUCGAGUCUCACGUCGGGCGUC